rnacentral:lncRNA from 1 species
UUGAUUUCAGGAAGCACAAAAACACUGGGUGAAAGAAAAAAAAUUGAGCUUCAUUUUUUUAACAUUUUUCCUCCACAGAUACCAACACUCGAUCUGUUCUGAGACAACAUCCUAGUCUGUGCAAGUGGAAGGAUAUUUCAGUGAUUAGACCUCUGCCAGCCCUGGACAUGUCAAACCCAGCUUCAGCCUCACGCUCCUGAUUAUUUUGUUGAGAAGAAAUGUGAAGCACAUCUUAAAGCAAAUCCCAUAGCACCGGGGAACUCUUCUGGAAUUCAAGAAAGAAAAGCUCUCUCUCAUACUUGCUGCCCCAACG